UUAGUAAUAGUAAGACAGCUAUCCCUAACUGCUCCAUACAGGGCUACGUCAACUUAAUGCCGCAUCAAAGAAAAGAAUUUGGUAGUCGUCGUGCUCCGCACCGCCCCUACCGCAUGUUAUUCACCCAAUAAUCGGCCAGUUACCCGGUAAUCAGGCACCGUUACCGGGCUAGGGUCGGUAAUCGGUCAGUUACCCGGUAAUCAGGCACCGUUACCGGGCUAGGGUCGGUAAUCGGCCAGUUACCCGGUAAUCAGGCACCGUUACCGGGCUAGGGUCGGUAAUCGGUCAGUUACCCGGUAAUCAGGCACCGUUACCGGGCUAGGGUCGGUAAUCGGCCAGUUACCCGGUAAUCAGGCACCGUUACCGGGCUAGGGUCGGUAAUCGGCCAGUUACCCGGUAAUCAGGCAUCGUUACCGGGGUAUUUACCAGGUCGCUACCUGGUAAAUACCGGCGCCGGCGCCGGCGCUCAGGGGAUCCAUCGGACGCCGCCCUAGCCUGUGACUGAACGUUUGGAUUAAACUAUUGCAUGAUCCAAGCGAACGGCAAAAUUGAUUUAGCGACACGCACUCUGCAACUAAACGCCGAAGGACUAAUCAGCAACUGUUCUGGCGAGAUAUAUGAGCUUAGCUUAUCAGGGCUUGUAC
rnacentral:lncRNA from 1 species